UACGGAGGGGGCUAGCGUUGUUCGGAAUUACUGGGCGUAAAGCGCGCGUAGGCGGACCUGCAAGUCGGGGGUGAAAGCCCGAGGCUCAACCUCGGAACUGCCUUCGAUACUUCGGGUCUCGAGUCCGGGAGAGGUGAGUGGAACUGCGAGUGUAGAGGUGAAAUUCGUAGAUAUUCGCAAGAACACCAGUGGCGAAGGCGGCUCACUGGCCCGGUACUGACGCUGAGGUGCGAAAGCGUGGGGAGCAAACAGG
rnacentral:rRNA from 1 species